UUUACUUUUUGGCCUUUUGGCUAUAAGCGAGUGUAGUCUCUGUUGUUAACAGUUUAAUGUCUGAUACAUCCUUUAUCUGGAGGCGAUUUAUGAAAUGCAUUUUUGAUGCAGGGAGAUAAAACAGGAGCUUGCUUUGCACACUACAUGCAUCCACCUAGCAUUGCAGGAUCUCCAGGAAUAAUAAACGCUCC
ensembl:snRNA U2 U2 spliceosomal RNA